GGUCGCGUGGCCGAGUGGCUAGGCAGAGCUCUGCAAAAGCUUCUACGGCGGUUCGAAUCCGUCCGCGACCUCAA
rnacentral:tRNA from 1 species